rnacentral:rRNA from 1 species
CCGGCGGACGGGUGCGUAACGCGUAUGCAACCUGCCCGGGACAGGAGGAUAAUCCGAAGAAAUUUGGUCUAAUACUCCGUAAUACUGACGAAGGCAUCUUUGUCGGUUGAAAACUGAGGUGGUUCCGGAUGGGCAUGCGUGAUAUUAGCUAGAUGGAGAGGUAACGGCUCACCAUGGCUACGAUAUCUAGGGGAACUGAGAGGUUAAUCCCCCACACUGGUACUGAGACACGGACCAGACUCCUACGGGAGGCAGCAGUGAGGAAUAUUGGUCAAUGGGAGGAAUCCUGAACCAGCCAUGCCGCGUGCAGGACGACGGCUCUACGAGUUGUAAACUGCUUUUGUACCGGGGUAAAAUGCCUUACGUGUAGGGUUUUGAAAGUACGGUACGAAUAAGGAUCGGCUAACUCCGUGCCAGCAGCCGCGGUAAUACGGAGGAUGCGAGCGUUAUCCGGAUUUAUUGGGUUUAAAGGGUGCGCAGGCGGAGGCACAAGUCAGCGGUAAAAUCGCGGGGCUCAACCCCGCUCCGCCGUUGAAACUGUGUCCCUUGAGUGCGCGAAGGGUAGGCGGAAUGCGUGGUGUAGCGGUGAAAUGCAUAGAUAUCACGCAGAACUCCGAUCGCGAAGGCAGCCUACCGGCGCGCGACUGACGCUCAUGCACGAAAGCGUGGGUAUCGAACAGGAUUAGAUACCCUGGUAGUCCGCGCGGUAAACGAUGGAU